rnacentral:rRNA from 1 species
AUUGAACGCUGGUGGCAGGCCUAACACAUGCAAGUCGAACGAGUGGCGGACGGGUGAGUAAUGUCUGGGAAAAUGCCUGAUGGAGGGGGAUAACUGCUGGAAACGGUAGCUAAUACCGCAUACCAUCGGAUGUGCCCACAUGGGAUUAGCUAGUUGGUGGGGUAACGGCUCACCUAGGCGACGAUGCCUAGCUGGGAUGAGAGUCUGACCGGCCACAUUGGAACUGAGACACGGUCCAGACUCCUACGGGAGGCAGCAGUGGGGAAUAUUGCACAAUGGGCGAAAGUCUGAUGCAGCCAUGCCGCGUGUGUGAAGAAGGCCUUCGGGUUGUAAAGUACUUUCGUCGGGGAGGCGUUAAUAACAGAAUAAGCACCGGCUAACUUCGUGCCAGCAGCCGCGGUAAUAC